AUGAAGCGACAACAGAAGGGAUACUCUGUACCCUGAAGAAACAGCAUCGCCAAGAAAAUCACAUGCCUCCUUGUUAUGUGUUUUGGCUCCCCAAACAAACUUCCAACUCAUGCCACGGCAACAUGAAACAGGCUGGAAGAGGUGGAGACUCCAGAGACAGCCACUGGCAUCUAGUCUAGGCGGACACGUGGAGGGUGAUGGCAGAAACAAGCGAGGAGCACCGCAAGAGUCGUCUUGCAAAAGCGAGCCAGGCUUGAAGCAAGUGGUCCUGGCUCUGGCUCAGAAGGACUCCUAGUGACUGCUGUCCCUUUGCAAGUGAAGCUGUGGCCACGUGUCUGGGUUCCACAAUGGCACAUGAAGAAAUGGAUGUCUUCCAGUGAGAAGAAGUGAUGUCUGCCACUUUGGGUGACAUUCUUUAAAGGAAUAUUCACACACUACCCUUGCCUCUCCUGUCACUGCCUAAAUACAGAGAAGGACCUUGAACCAGCCAGGGAAGACAGAUGUUCUGCCUGAUCCCAGCCCUGUGCCACCAACACUUAAACAAAACAAAAGGCCAGGUCUACUCAGGUCCCUUGGAGGCCAUCUCUGUAACUAAUAUUGCCUUUAUCCACUGAGGCCUGAUCACUCUGGACAACCACAUGGACUCGCUGCAGCAACUGGAAAUGAAUAUCCCGUCACCACCCAACAGCACUCCCUCUGCCCGGACAGAGGUGCUCCCCCUUCACCCACUCUACCCUGGCCCAGCAGUCAGCUUCCAGAUGACUAGCUCUUUGGGGCUACCUCAGCAGCCAAAGGCUUGCCCUGCCUCAGGUGGCCCACAUCCAGACAGAUUCUUGGGGCUAGACAGACCACUUCACUUGGGCCCUGUGUGGGACAAGGCUGACAGAACAUACAGGCUCUGCGUGGAGUUGGCCAAGGCUCUCACAGGCCUGGGCUGUGUCCCACCUUCCCCUCUGUCCAGUCAUAUUCUCUUCCUCACCGGUGCCUAGAGACCUGAAACGCCAACCUCUGCCUCAGCAUUUGCUUCUAGAGAAUGAGCCCGGGUGGACUGAAUGGGAAGAACGAUCUCACUUUUCUGCCAAAAGGGAAAGCACCUGUCACAUGGCUGACAAUGUUGAAGGUCAGGCCCAACAAAGCCUUUGAAAAGUCACUCACAGCCGCCCUGGCUGAAGUGCUGAACUUUCAGUAGCUGUGAGGAAACAAACAUCCUGGGCAGUGGCAGGCCCGCCC